AGUGAACGCUGGCGGUAGGCCUAACACAUGCGAGUCGAACGGCAGCACAGUAAGAGCUUGCUCUUACGGGUGGCGAGUGGCGGACGGGUGAGGAAUACAUCGGAAUCUACUUUUUCGUGGGGGAUAACGUAGGGAAACUUACGCUAAUACCGCAUACGACCUACGGGUGAAAGCAGGGGAUCUUCGGACCUUGCGCGAUUGAAUGAGCCGAUGUCGGAUUAGCUAGUUGGCGGGGUAAAGGCCCACCAAGGCGACGAUCCGUAGCUGGUCUGAGAGGAUGAUCAGCCACACUGGAACUGAGACACGGUCCAGACUCCUACGGGAGGCAGCAGUGGGGAAUAUUGGACAAUGGGCGCAAGCCUGAUCCAGCCAUACCGCGUGGGUGAAGAAGGCCUUCGGGUCGUAAAGCCCUUUUGUUGGGAAAGAAAAGCAGCAGGUUAAUACCCCGCUGUUCUGACGGUACCCAAAGAAUAAGCACCGGCUAACUUCGUG
rnacentral:rRNA from 1 species